rnacentral:rRNA from 1 species
UACGGAGGAUCCAAGCGUCAUCCGGAUUUAUUGGGUUUAAAGGGAGCGUAGGUGGUGUGGUAAGUCAGGUGUGAAAGCCCGGGGCUCAACUCCGGGAUUGCACUUGAAACUACCAAACUAGAGUGCGGGAGAGGUAAGUGGAAUUCCUAGUGUAGCGGUGAAAUGCGUAGAUAUUAGGAGGAACACCAGUGGCGAAGGCGGCUUACUGGACUGUAACUGACACUGAGGCUCGAAAGCGUGGGGAGCAAACAGG